GCACAAGCAGUGGAGUAUGUGGUUUAAUUCGAAGCAACGCGAAGAACCUUACCAGGUCUUGACAUCCGAUGCAUAGCGCAGAGAUGCGUGAAGUCCUUCGGGACAUCGAGACAGGUGGUGCAUGGUUGUCGUCAGCUCGUGUCGUGAGAUGUUGGGUUAAGUCCCGCGACGAGCGCAACCCUUAUUGCCAGUUACUACGUAAGAGGACUCUGGCGAGACUGCCGUUGAUAAAA
rnacentral:rRNA from 1 species